UACGUAGGCAGCAAGCGUUGUUCGGAGUUACUGGGCGUAAAGGGUGCGUAGGCGGCCACGCACGUCCGUUGUGAAAUCGCCCGGCUCAACUGGGCGGGGUCAGCGGAUACGGUGUGGCUCGAGCAAGCUAGGGGGCAAUGGAAUUCCCGGUGUAGUGGUGGAAUGCGUAGAUAUCGGGAGGAACACCAGUGGCGAAGGCGGUUGCCUGGAGCUUUGCUGACGCUGAGGCGCGAAAGCGUGGGGAGCGAUCCGG
rnacentral:rRNA from 1 species